rnacentral:rRNA from 1 species
GAUGAACGCUAGCUACAGGCUUAACACAUGCAAGUCGAGGGGCAGCAUGGUCUUAGCUUGCUAAGGCCGAUGGCGACCGGCGCACGGGUGAGUAACACGUAUCCAACCUGCCGUCUACUCUUGGACAGCCUUCUGAAAGGAAGAUUAAUACAAGACGGCAUCAUGAGUCCGCAUGUUCACAUGAUUAAAGGUAUUCCGGUAGACGAUGGGGAUGCGUUCCAUUAGAUAGUAGGCGGGGUAACGGCCCACCUAGUCUUCGAUGGAUAGGGGUUCUGAGAGGAAGGUCCCCCACAUUGGAACUGAGACACGGUCCAAACUCCUACGGGAGGCAGCAGUGAGGAAUAGUGGUCAAUGGGCGAGAGCCUGAACCAGCCAAGUAGCGUGAAGGAUGACUGCCCUAUGGGUUGUAAACUUCUUUUAGAAAGGAAUAAAGUCGGGUAUGGAUACCCGUUUGCAUGUACUUUAUGAAUAAGGAUCGGCUAACUCCGUG